CGACCUGUUGUGGGAUGGCCGGCAGCUUCGGCUACGAGGCCGAACACCACUCGAUGAGCCGGGCGAUCGGUCGGAUCCUGUUCGACCAGGUCGAC
rnacentral:tRNA from 1 species